UCAAUUGAUAGUCGGUGUGUAAAUCUCCUACCGAGCUGUGUUAAUAUCUGGGUGUGUUCGAAAGAUGUGCAUCGUUUCUAAUAAAUGUAGAUUACAGAUUGUUGUAAAAUGCCGUACGUACAUGUUGAAGGAUUUCCUAUAAAUAAGAUUCAAUUUUGGUAGUUCGCUUAUUAGCAAGCUGCACAACCUAUGAUUCAUUCUGCAAUGGGGGUUAAGAUGGGUAUUCGCUUUUUGAACAAAUGGGAAGAAUGAGCCCAAAUGAAUGGUUAAAGUUGGAAAAUACAUCAAUGUGGCGUGUAUUAAACCAUAUCGCUGUCCUAUCAGCUCAAAAGUUGGAUUAAUAGUAUCCAUCUUUUCAAAAGUGUCUAGUAUCUUAUGAGCUAA
rnacentral:rRNA from 1 species